UUGAAAAGCUUAAUGACAAAAACCUAAACUAUCCUUGUUUUAUCUUCUCCCCGAUUUUCUUUGGCUCGUGACUCUGAGCUUUUCUUCUCCACCGACUCCAAGCUUCAUCUUCAUCUUCGACUAUGGAGCUUCUUCUUCAUCUUCGAAUUUCGAAGGAAGGAUGUACCACGAGGCGAGUUCAAGGGAGAAGAACAUUAGGCAGCAGCCACGUGGAGCGUCUUCCUCCCUUGCUUCUUCGUUCUCUUCUCUGACUAUGGAGGACAAAGCGGUUUUCAAGCUGCACAAAGAGCUGGAGAACGUCAUGUUCUUCGUGUGAACAAUAAGGUUUGGGGUUAUAUUUGUGUUUUGGGUCCCUAAGCUGAACUUUAAAAUGCUAUUAUUGAAUAUCGGAGCAGUCCCAAUAACGCAGUUUUACUCCUUUUUCCAAGGAGUUUGUGCGUGAAUCUACUUGGGUUUUUUUUUCCCGUUGUUUGGUCGUUGUGUUGAAAAUUGAAAGCACUUUGUGUUUGGUAUUGUAUUGCUCUUUGGAGCGGAGAAUACUUAUGUCAUGGUAUUUUAUUAUAAUCAAAAAUCUGAGUUUUGUAA